GACGGCCUGAUGCUCCCAGCACAAAGAGCACAGGCCUGGAGCCGAAAGCCCUGAGCCUGGGGAAGCGUGCUGAGAAAGAGCAGGCGGGAUCCGUAGAGGGAGUGAAUGCCAAGACCAGAGACAAAUGACGAGCGAUGACCGUGUGGACCCAAGGCUAAGUGUGCUGCCAGCACUAACUGGGAAGUGGGAAGGGCUCUGGUUUGGAAGGAAAGAUAACAAGCUCUGCUCUGGACAAGUUUUGUUGCAGGGGUUGGAAGGUCAACCGAUUAGAGAUCUUCCAUAGACAAUAAGAAAUAUGAGCUGGGCAAGGGACAAGGAGGGAGGAUUUGAGGUGUAGGUUGAGCAGCCAUUGGGCAAUGGGAACAGUGCUGGGCCGGAGAGAUGGGCCAUUCAUUUGUCUAUUUCAGAACUCUCCCCUGAGUGCCUACUGUGUGCCAAGCAUGAUCCUGUGACCUGGGGAUGCUGCCGUGAACCAGCCAGGGCAGACGUCUUGAAUGAUUUGUGUGGAGGAAGAAAAUAAGGGCUGUCAAGUCCCGAGUGGGAAGAGAAGGAGAGCCUCAGACCACAAGGCACUACCAGCUGCGGGAACACGUGAACAGGCCUGGCCACUGCCGGGGAGGAAGGCUGCUGGCUUCAAGCGUGCAUUUAGGAAGCAGACCGCCCCAGCUUCAGCUGCCCGCUCUCCCCCUUCCCUGCUGUGGCUCACUUGAUUCUAAGUCUCAGAUUUGGACCAUGGAGGCUAAGCUCUGGCUGGUGCCUGAGAAGAAUUCCGUUCCGGCCCCAGCUCCUCCUUGGGAUAUUUGGAUCACUCCUUGAGCGCCCAGGCCAAAGCAGAGCAGAAGCUGAAUUCGAUCCGCCGCGUUCUGACUAUGUGAUCUCGAGCAAGACACUUACCCUCUGGAACCUGAGUUUAUUCAACCUCGAAAUGGAAAUAAAAAUAUUCAUCCAAACUACUAUCGCCA
rnacentral:lncRNA from 1 species